UCAUUCGUUGGCGGAGUAAAUCCACUCGUUUCAUGCAAUAGCCUGCAAACCAUGUGGAACAAGUAAAGCGAAAUGGAUUUUGAAGAAGAUGAAACCACUCUCAGAACCUUACUCUCCACCAACAUUUUCACCUCAGCACUGAUGUUCAAGAAGUUACUAAGCAAGACAACAAUAUGCUCAUAUAUACAUAUACAUAUACGAUAUAUAUAUAUAUAUAUAUAUAUAUAUAUAUGCUUGAAUUCUUGGGGUCUGAUAAUUUGAUCGCGCUUUUGCCUAUUUAUCAGGUUCUUGGGAUUGAUAUCCACCCAGGUACUUAACCCCUAUUUUGAUUGGACAUGAAUUUAAGGAGAAAUAAUUAACAUUAUGACAAAGAUCAUACACGAGCCGUACAGCAUGGUGCAAGACUAACUCGGAACUGUUUGUGUGUAUAUGUACUUUGAGAGUAGAUGUUGUAUUCCUAUAUAUAUAUAUGGGCGUAUAUAUAUGUAUACAUACAUGAGGUUUUGAACAGCGGCAAGGAUAGGAGAAGGAGUGAUACUAGAUCAUGGGACUGGCAUCGGGCAGACAGCUACCAUAGGAAACAAUGUCUGGCUCAUGCAUGGGGUUAAAAUAGGGAAUGACGGCCAUUCAGAAAUCGGGGACGGUGUCAUAAUUGGGUCCUGCGCCAUUGUGCUUGGCAACGUAACCAUCGGUGAAGGUGCGAGGGUGGCUGCUGCUUCCCUUGUUUCGUCACAUAUCCCUCCCUACCGCAUGGCUGGUGGAAACCCUGCCCAGUUGAUUGGAUACGUAGCCGUGCAAUCGAGGGAAGAAGGUGAGCAUUCUCUCCCAAUCCCAAAUCCAACAGCUUUACCACCUCCACGUUGACAUCGCGCCUAGCCACGUAUUUUAGGGAGUGUGCGUUUUCGUAUUCGGGAAUAUUUCUGUUCGAAUCUUUUGGUUUUACAAAAUAUGUAUCGGUUAUUAUAUUAUAUUCUUUUCGAUUCGA